rnacentral:tRNA from 1 species
GCGGGGAUAGCUCAGUUGGGAGAGCGUCAGGCUGAAGAUCUGAAGGUCGCGUGUUCGAUCCAUGCUUAUCGCA